GAUGAAGAACGCAGCGAAAUGCGAUAAGUAAUGUGAAUUGCAGAAUUCAGUGAAUCAUCGAGUCUUUGAACGCACAUUGCGCCCCCUGGUAUUCCGGGGGGCAUGCCUGUCCGAGCGUCAUUGCUGCCCUCAAGCACGGCUUGUGUGUUGGGCCUCCGUCCUCCUCCCGGGGGACGGGCCCGAAAGGCAGCGGCGGCACCGCGUCCGGUCCUCGAGCGUAUGGGGCUUCGUCACCCGCUCUUGUAGGCCCGGCGGGCGCUUGCCGACACAUCAAUCUUUUUUCCAGGUUGACCUCGGAUCAGGUAGGGAUACCCGCUGAACUUAAGCAUAUCAAUAAGCGGAGGA
rnacentral:misc_RNA from 1 species